AGCUCAAGAAGGAGACUAACUUCUAUAGCAACUUUCAUAACCGGAUAGUGACAGAGAAGAAUCUUGUAAAGAAGGAUUUGGACACACUGAACCAGGAGAUCAUGACAGUACAGGUUGACUGGAAUUCAAUCCAGAAAUAUUUGCUUGAAUUCAUCCUGAAUGACAAAGACGAACAGAAAGAGACCAGCAAGCUCCAGACCCAACACCAUCAGGUCUCAGAAACUGCAAGAGGGCUGAGAUUGGCC